rnacentral:miRNA from 1 species
AAUUUUGCAAACUAAAUGACAUGG